rnacentral:tRNA from 1 species
GGGAAUGUAGCUCAGUGGUAGAGCUCUUGCCUGGCAUGCAUAUAAGGUCCGGGGUUCAAUCCCA